rnacentral:rRNA from 1 species
UACAGAGGUCUCAAGCGUUGUUCGGAUUCAUUGGGCGUAAAGGGUGUGUAGGCGGCGCCGUAAGUCGGGUGUGAAAUUUCGGAGCUUAACUCCGAAACUACAUUCGAUACUGCGGUGCUUGAGGACUGGAGAGGAGACUGGAAUUCAUGGUGUAGCAGUGAAAUGCGUAGAGAUCAUGUGGAACGCCAAUGGUGAAAACAGGUAGCUGGGAGUGUGCUGACGCUGAGACACGAAAGCCAGGGGAGCAAACGGG